UUCAAGGCUCUUUUCAGAGCCAUCCAUAUUUCCACAAGAAAGGCUG
rfam:Canis lupus familiaris chromosome 35, whole genome shotgun sequence.